AUUGAACGCUGGCGGCCUGCUUUCCCCCUGCACGUCGACCGGCAGCGCGGGUUUCGGCCUGGCGGCGAGUGGCGAACGGGUGAGUAAUACAUCGGAAAGUGCCCAGUAGUGGGGGAUAGCUCGGCGAAAGCCGGAUUAAUACCGCAUACGACCUGAGGGUGAAAGCGGGGGAUCUUCGGACCUCGCGCUAUUGGAGCGGCCGAUGGCAGAUUAGCUAGUUUGUGGGGUAAAGGCCUACCAAGGCGACGAUCUGUAGCUGGUCUGAGAGGACGACCAGCCACACUGGGACUGAGACACGGCCCAGACUCCUACAGGAGGCAGCAGUGGGGAAUUUUGGACAAUGGGCGAAAGCCUGAUCCAGCAAUGCCGCGUGUGUGAUGAAGGCCUUCGGGUUGUAAAGCACUUUGGGCGGGAACGAAAAGGACUGUGCCAAUACCACGGUUCGAUGACGGUACCCGCAGAAUAAGCACCGGCUAACUACGUG
rnacentral:rRNA from 1 species